UGGGGAAUCUUGGACAAUGGGGGAAACCCUGAUCCAGCCAUGCCGCGUGAUCGAUGAAGGCCUUAGGGUUGUAGAGAUCUUUCAGCUGGGAAGAUAAUGACUGUACCAGCAGAAGAAGCCCCGGCUAACUCCGUGCCAGCAGCCGCGGUAAUACGGAGGGGGCUAGCGUUGUUCGGAAUUACUGGGCGUAAAGCGCACGUAGGCGGAUCAGUCAGUCAGGGGUGAAAUCCCGGGGCUCAACCCCGGAACUGCCUUUGAUACUGCUGGUCUUGAGGUCGAGAGAGGUGAGUGGAAUUCCGAGUGUAGAGGUGAAAUUCGUAGAUAUUCGGAGGAACACCAGUGGCGAAGGCGGCUCACUGGCUCGAUACUGACGCUGAGGUGCGAAAGCGUGGGGAGCAAA
rnacentral:rRNA from 1 species